UUACCAAUAUAAUUACAAUAAUGUGAUGAUUUAUUUUUCAAAGAUUAAAGCCUUUAUCGAGCCUAGGAGUUUGGAUAGUGAUAAUAAAUAGUGUUAUUGUAGUAACUCUUUUAGAUACUAUAGUCUGUUUUAGAAAAUAGGUUCUUAAUACUGCUGACAAGAGAUGUUUGGGUUAAAAAAUGUUUUGUCUGUAAUGCUGCUCAGUUUUUGUUUAUUUUAAUUUUUAAAUAUAUUUAAACAAUGCUUAGAAAGCAUUUGUGUAUAAUUUGAUCUAGACACAAAUCUGAAAACUUAAGAGAAUGACCUGCCCAAAAUUCAUUAAAACAACUAUUUCAUAUGCUGAAGUGAUUUUCUUUUUCAUUUAUUAUUAGUAAGAAUAUGUAAAACGUAACUUUAACUGAUUAAAAAAGCUGAAUAAUAGUUCAAAACGCACUGAUUAGUCAUCAAAAUAAUCGAUGAUCAGUUGAUGGUCUAAUAAUCGAUAGAUUAUUCGAUUAUCAAAAUAAUAGUUUAUUGCAGCCCUAAUUAAAAAUUAUAAUAAUGCAUAAUGCUAUUGUGAAUUCACAAACACUGAUUCAACUCAAUAAAUAUAUGCAGUGUCAAUUUCAGUUAGAAUAACUUAUAGCUAAUGAUGAAAUCUUUUAUAUUAGUAAUUAUGAAUAUGAAAAAGCAGCCAUUUUGAAACAAAGCAUUACCAAAUUCUCUCAACUUAAGCACUUUAUUAAAAUUAUACUGUUUAUCUGUAAAGAUUUACUUGACAUGAUAUUUUGUAGUGAUUCGGAGUCAUCGGAGAAGAGGACCAAAUCCUCUAAAAGAUGCAGAAAUCCAUAAACAAAAGGGCAAGGACAAAGACAACAUAACCAGAAAAUAUAUUAAUCCCAUCAAAGCUCGUCCAUGAGCUUGUCGUUUCAGGAAGUGAAGUCACAUCUCCUAAAGAGCUUGUCCAUGAGCCUGUCGUUUCAGGAAGUGAAGUCACAUCCCCCAAAGAGGUUUGUUAAUAAUUUUGUCAAAUUUGUGUCACACGUGUUAUAAUUUGAUCACGUACAAUAGUCACAUGUGUCCUCAUAAACCAUGAGUAAACACACACAAGUGUUGUAAAG